rnacentral:rRNA from 1 species
GGGAAGAGCUCAAAUUUUGAAUCUGGCGGUGUUUGGCCGUCCGAGUUGUAAUCUAGAGAAGCGUGUUCUGUGUUGGACCGUGUACAAGUCUCCUGGAAGGGAGCGUCAUAGAGGGUGAGAGUCCCGUCUUUGACACGGACUACCAAUGCUAUGUGAUGCGCUCUCGACGAGUCGAGUUGUUUGGGAAUGCAGCUCAAAACGGGUGGUAAAUUCCAUCUAAAGCUAAAUACAGGCGAGAGACCGAUAGCGAACAAGUACCGUGAGGGAAAGAUGAAAAGAACUUUGGAAAGAGAGUUAAACAGUACGUGAAAUUGCUGAAAGGGAAACGCUUGAUGUCAGUCGCGUGGGCCGGGGAUCAACCUUUGCACUUUUUCGCUGGGUGUACUUCCCGGUCGACGGGUCAGCAUCAGUUUCGGUCGCCAUACAAGGGCGAGGGGAAUGUGGCACCCUUCUGGGGUGUGUUAUAGCCUUUCGUCGCAUGUGGUGCUCGAGACUGAGGAACUCAGCACGGCUUUUCAGCAGUGUGCUUUUAGGAUGCUGGCAUAAUGGCCUUAAGCGACCCGUCUUGAAACACGGACCAAGGAGUCUAACAUGCCUGCGAGUGUUUGGGUGCCAAACCCGAGCGCGUAAUGAAAGUGAACGUUGAGACCUCUGUCGUGGAGGGCACCGACGCCCGGACCUGAGUCUUUGACGACGGAUCUGCGGUAGAGCAUGC